UACGUAGGCAGCGAGCGUUUGUUCGGAGUUACUGGGCGUAAAGAGUGCGUAGGCGGUUUUCUAAGUUUGGUGUGAAAUCUCCCGGCUUAACUGGGAGGGUGCGCCGAAAACUGGAAGGCUUGAGUAUGGGAGAGGUAAGCGAAUUCCUGGUGUAGCGGUGAAAUGCGUAGAUAUCAGGAGGAACACCGGUGGCGAAGGCGGGAUCCUGGCCAGUACUGACGCUGAGGAGCGAAAGCGUGGGGAGCAAACAGG
rnacentral:rRNA from 1 species